GCUGAUGUGAUUAAAGUUCUGCAGUUCAGAUCCGCUGAUAAAUGGUCCCAUACCGUAUCCACAGCGUCCUCAUGGUGCAGGCGGUCAAACCUCCACCUCUUUGAAGACACCAAGCAGCUUGAUGACUGACUGGUUCUUUAUACUCCGGACCUCGUCCCAGAGCAGAGGACAGACCUAAGGCCUGCAGCGCAGCCGACUAGAGACUCCAUGUGGAACCGGUUCAGUUAAGUUGACCUCUCCCUCAGGCGACUUUAAGGGAGACCAGAUGUGCGGCAGCUUGGUGUCAUGGUGCAGAGACCCAACGCUGCACUGAACUACACCAGUGUGUCCUACUCCCAUAAACCCUGAGGAUCCCUGGAUUCAAUGGAGAGAAAGUAAUUAUUUUCUCCAUUAUGUUGCACCACAUUUUGGGGCGAGUGUUUGAAUCAAUCUUUGUCUUUUUUUUCUGUACUCCAUAUCUGUAAUCCCAGCUGUUGUAUUUUAACACGGUAGCUGGGACCCCUCUUUAUAGGGAGCGACUAGAGGGACGAGGCUGGAAGCAAACCCGAGCCUGGAUCUUAACCUUCUUUCUAAACCUAAUGCCGCAAUUUAACCGCAAAUAAAGUGAUGCCUAAAGUAACUUGACUCUCUUACCUAAACUCGCUUGUCUAAACUCGCUUGCAUAAAACCUAAACUCGCUUGCAUAAAACCCCGAACUUGCUUGGCUAAACUCGCGUCGCUUGCCUAAUGCCUGAACUCGCUUGCCUGAACUCGCUUGCCUAAACUCGCUUGCCUAAAACCUGAACUUGCUUGGCUAAACUCGCGUCGCUUGCCUAAUACCUGAACUCGCUUGCCUGAACUCGCUUGCCUAAACUCGCUUGCCUAAACUCUGAACUUGCUUGGCUAAACUCGCGUCGCUUGCCUAAUACCUGAACUCUCUUGCCUAAUGCCUGAACCCGCUUGCAUAAAACCUAAACUCGCUUAGCUUGACUCGCUUGCCUGUACUCACUUGGCUAAACUGGCUUGCAUAAAACCUAAACUCGCUUGCAUAAAACCUAAACUCGCUUAGCUUGACUCGCUUGCCUGUACUCGCUUGGCUAAACUCCCUUGCCUAAUACCUGAAGUCGCUUGCCUAAAACCUAAACUUGCUUCCAAACAACACGUUACACAAAGUUAACCAUCCAUAAUCUUUAACCCAAACCAGACUUGUCCCUGGGUCGCUCCACUUUAAUUUAGAAGUUUCUUUUUACCUCAUCUGCUUUUUGAGCCUCAUUCUUUGAGGGCUUGAAGUGCUUUCGAGGAUAUUUGAACCUUUGUUUGCCGCAUCAAUAAACAUGCUUUAUCUUUACCCAUUUUGUUUUGGAUUGCAUUUCUAUGUGUAAUCCGGCCAAAUGUUCAGUGUCCUUUGACGUAAUGUCUAUGGUCUGACGAUAAUCUGACCUCCAUGAAGCAGAAUGUGUGUGAAUGUUGUCCUGUGAGCUCCAGGCUCUCUGUGGGCCUGUCAACGUCUCUUUAGCAAAAGGUUGGGGAGUGAAAUUCAUUUUUGUGCCAUUUUCAUGUGUUCCUGAGUAUUUCAGACCUGUGGUGUUUCACAUGAGACCUUAAUGGGAACUUAACUUUUUCUGCCUGCAUACGUAAUGCCUACAUUAGUAGGGUGAUCACUGUUGAUUCCAAUAUUGAUCAUUAACCACGUCAUUCUUUUCUGAUUUUUUUCGAUAAGGAUUACAAAUCAUGUAAUUUAUGAGCAUAUUUGCAAAUGGCUCCAAAUAUCAGAUUGUGUAAACUAAUGAAAUGUAACCUGCUUGAUUUUAAAGAAAAUAAA